AGCAGCAGCAGCACUCAGUACUGCAGGAACUUCGACUGGUACGGCUGCAUCCUCAAAGACAUGAUGGUGUCUCAAAAUUCGACAACCAACUGUGGCAUCAAUGACCGCGCCAGAGCCAUCUCCAUCUCCACUCUGUACUUCUUACUCUUUCCACCUGCCCUUCUGCUCAACGUGCUGGUGGCUUGGAUCUCCACCCGACUGAAGGCCAAAACCACCUUCAUGGUGUACCUGAAGCACCUGGUGGCGGCCGACCUACUGAUGACCCUUACUUUCCCAAUCCGGGCCGCCAACGAAUUGCCUGGCGCCUCGGACGAGCUGCAAGCCUUCGCCUGCCGUUUCGGCCACGUCUUCUUCUACCUGGCCAUGAACAUGAGCAUCAUCCUGAUGGGUCUCAUCAGCAUGGAUCGCUUCUUCAAGAUCGUGCAGCCCGGUGGGUUGCUCCUGUGCCGCAGCAUUUGUCUCAGCAAUGUCCUGGCUAUCUCCAGCUGGCUGCUGGUGAUCGGCUCCAACACCCUGCCCGUCAUCAUCACGACGAACCAAGACCAUCGGAACAGUUCCCAUAAAGAGUUCUGCAUGCGCAUGAAAAGUGAAAUAGGACUUUGCUGGCACAAAGUGGUCAUCAUGUUUGCUAAAGUCCUGUUCUGGACAGUGUGCAUUGUGGUCAUGCUGUGCUACAUCUGCAUCACCAAGAAGGUCAUGGAAUCGUACCGGAGGUCCCGCAGCAACAACGAUCAGACGAAUCGCUCAGCGAAGUUUCGGGUUUUUCUCAUCCUGUUGGUUUUCCUGAUCUGCUACGUGCCUUACCAUGCUGUGCGGUUACCUUAUACCAACUAUCAAGUCAUGGAAAAGGACAACUGCAUCAGGCCUAUACUAAAGGUCGUCAAGGAUGUAACUUUGUGGCUGUCGGCGACCAACGUGUGCCUGGACCCUCUGAUCUAUUUUUUCCUGUGCAAGUCAUUCCGGAACAGGUUUUUGGAGAUUUGUCAGCGGAGCAGCAUUUUUAAGUCCUUUGGAAAGAGUGCAGAACCAUAUCAGUCCUCAGACACUUCACUGUAAACCUCUAUCUAUCUAUCUAUCUAUCUAUCUAUCUAUCUAUCUACAGGGGUUGGACAAUGAAACUGAAACACCUGUCAUUUUAGUGUGGGAGGUUUCAUGGCCAAAUUGGAGCAGCCUGGUGGCCAGUCUUCAUUAAUUGUACAUUGCACCAGUAAUAGCAGAGUGUGAAGGUUCAAUUAGCAGGGUAACAAUUAGCAGCACAGUUUUGCCCAAAAUAUUGCAAUGCACACAACAUUAUGAGUGACAUACCAGAGUACAAAAGAGGACAAAUUGUUGGUGCACGUCUUGCUGGAGCAUCUGUGACCAAGACAGCAAGUCUUUGUGAUGAAUCAAGAGCCACGGUAUCCAGGGUAAUGACAGCAUACCACCAAGAAGGACCAACCACAUCCAACAGGAUUAACUGUGGACGCUGUAAGAGGAAGCUGUCUGAAAGGGAUGUUCGGGUGCUAACCCGGAUUGUAUCCAAAAAAACACAAAACGGCUACCCAAAUAAUACAAUAAUGGGGGAGAAUCAAGAUGGGCUAUUCAACAAAAGUUUGUACCUUUUAUCAUGUUUUACUACAACCUAAGUCCAUUUCACCCUGGAUGUCUCAACAAAUAAUGACCAGACCAAGACAUUUUAUUUUAAUGAAUGAGUUCAUUGUUUUGGGUUCAUUUACAGUAUCUUCAGUCACGCUAAAAUUUUGUAUUUUCAAAGCUUUACAGCAGAGAAAAAAAUGAAUACAUAUACACACAGAAAACAUACACACAGUACUGUAUAUAAUCUAUAUGACCUAUAAUAAUGUACCAUUGCAGCAAACGAGUAUUAUAGGAUGAAUUUUUAUAGGAGGCAAGCGAUGGAAAAAAGGGUGGAACAGGUUAAUGCUGCUCAAAUGGAGACUCUUUUUUUUUCAUGUUGAAAAAAUGGGCUACUUCAGCACUUUGCCACAUUACUCAUGGCUCUUUUGAUAAUUGCUCAUCACCAGAUGUGCUGCUGACAUUUUGAGCAGCGUGCUGACUGUAGAGCAGACCGCUUUGUGCUCUUUAUUCGUCCUCCUCUCUGCACUUUCCUUCUCGUCCACUCUAUCUUCACUCAGUCGGGUCUCUUUUUGCGGCCAUUAAUAUACCAGGAUAUUAGAUAUGUUUCAUGAAGCGUCCCUCUGUAUGUAAUGUAUAUGUACAGUGAGCAGCUCUGGAAAAAUUAAGAGACCACUUCAGUUUCUGAAUCAGUUUCUCUGAUUUUGCUAUUUAUAGUUAUAUGUUCGACAACAUAUCUCCCAAAUUCCAAAUAAAAAUAUUGUCAUUUAGCGCAUUUAUUAGACCUCAAAUAAUACAAAAAGAAAACAAGUUCAUUUUCAUAAAUUUUUGAGAGUUUAGAAAUCAAUAUUUGGUGCAAUAACCCUGUUUUUUAAUCACAGUUUUCAUACAUAUUGGCAUGUUCUCCUCCACCAGUCUUACACACUACUUUUGGAUAACUUUAUUCCACUCCUGGUGCAAAAAUUCAAGCAGUUUAUCUUGAUUUAAUGGCUUGUGAGGUUUUCAAUUUGGUAAAAUCAAAGAAAAUAAUCAUUUUUAAGUGGUCUCUUAUUUUUUGUUUUUAGAGCUGUAUAUAUGUUCAUACAUACAUACAUACACACAUAUAUGGCUCACAGAAGCACUAAUGAUGUGUGUGUAGGAGAGGAAGAGGGAGAAAAAAAGAGUGAAAAGAACAGCAAAAAUGUAUAAGACAGUUGGACUUGGUUAUUUAUGAGAUUUAAUCCAUAUUUCAAUGUAAAUAAUGGUAAAUACCUUCUAAACUAAAUAGAAAAAAACUGCCAAAAAUAGUAAAAAAAAAAAAAAAGUAAAAAAAAAAAGUAUGGCAGGAAGUUGGGGCCAAAUUUUGCAAUAUGAUUAAUUUGUGUUAAUUAAUAAAAAAAUGAAUGCAGUUCACAAAUAAUCUCAUGCAUUAACAGGGUAACAGAGGCAGCACUGGUAUAUACUGUAUUUAUAAACAUGGACAUGGCCAGAAAGACCCUUACUCCAUCAUUGAAGGGGUCUUUUAUGUUAAGUUAUGUUCCUGUGUCUAUGCGAAUGUGUGUGUGCGCGAGUGUGUGUGCGCACAUGGUGGGUGAGUGUGAAAGGGAAAUGUCAAGAGCCUUUGCUGUAGGGCUGCAUAAACUGGAUAUUUAAAUAGCGUUCAAAACUUUGCAUAGAAAAAAUAGAUUACCAUAAUUGACAGGUCACUGUUGCCUGACCUCCUCAUCACAUCCCACUAAUUUAAAGGACCCUUUGGUCAUUUGCAUACAUGAAAGUCUUUUGUUGAUGAUUUUUUUUUUGUUCACUGUCCAACCGCGUCCGCUUCUUCACAACGCUCUGUCUACCUUACGGCUUAGAGCUUUGAAUUUGGCCCGGGCCUUAGCGUUGCUGAUGAGGUAUUAUUCCGACAGGGCUUUCCGCAUUCAGGUGGAGAAAUAUGCCCCCGCAGGUCCGUGGAAAUGUUUCUCAUGGUUAUGGAACGAUGCCCUCAGUAGACUGUGUUAUAGCCAAGCAUGUAGCGCAACAUGAGUUCCAUGAAAAAUUCAUAGUGUUGGGGUUUAGGGCGCUUAAAAUCUCCCCCACAAACUUAUUCCCCUUAGAGAGACGUCCACCUGUGUUAAGAUCUAAAGUGCUGCUGUGCCGUGCUGUGCCGCGCCGUGCUGUACAGCCGCCCGGUUCCGACCCGGCCCACUGUGGCCUGUGAAUGUUUUAACUGAUUUGCAUAAGGCUGCGUAAUGAAUAUUUACCACGGUAAAACUUAACCUUCACCGCAAGUGACUUUUUAUUUUGUGCAGUAUGAACUUCUUUUCUUCCCUUUCCUUCUUUGCUAGUUUUUCUGUUUUCUUUUUUCCUGUUUAUCUGAUUUUUUGAGUACCAGAUUUGUAACAUAUUUUGCUCAGAAGUCACAAACAACAGAGAUUUUGUUUUUAAUAUGAUUUAAAGCACAUCAUCCACAUAGGAGGAAUGGACAGAAAUGGAUGUAUCUAAAGAUCAGAGGCCAUUCAGUAGCCUAUCAGAGCCCCUAACCUGUCUCAGAAAGACUGGAAUUUUCCUUGGUGGCAACUGGAUUGGAUCUGGAUUUGGAUCUGGAUCUGGCAACAUCAUUUUUAUUGCAUGGCGGUCAUCCUGUACACAAGGUUUUUGUCCUUCCAGGCUGUUGCUUGCAAGAAAGGUGCAAACCACAAAUGCAUGGGCGGUUUGUCUGGGGGGCUUGGCAAAAAAAAACAAGUAAUUAUGGUCAAAGCAAUUUAAAAUAACAGUCUCCUUAUACAUAAAUAAAAUGGUAAAACAAAAAAAAAAAUGUCUUUUGGACCCCUUUUUUGUUAACUCCCCCAUAA